rnacentral:rRNA from 1 species
AGAGUUUGAUCAUGGCUCAGAUUGAACGCUGGCGGCAGGCCUAACACAUGCAAGUCGAACGGUAGCACAGAGAGCUUGCUCUCGGGUGACGAGUGGCGGACGGGUGAGUAAUGUCUGGGAAACUGCCUGAUGGAGGGGGAUAACUACUGGAAACGGUAGCUAAUACCGCAUAACGUCGCAAGACCAAAGAGGGGGACCUUCGGGCCUCUUGCCAUCAGAUGUGCCCAGAUGGGAUUAGCUAGUAGGUGGGGUAACGGCUCACCUAGGCGACGAUCCCUAGCUGGUCUGAGAGGAUGACCAGCCACACUGGAACUGAGACACGGUCCAGACUCCUACGGGAGGCAGCAGUGGGGAAUAUUGCACAAUGGGCGCAAGCCUGAUGCAGCCAUGCCGCGUGUAUGAAGAAGGCCUUCGGGUUGUAAAGACUUUCAGCGGGGAGGAAGGUGUUGUGGUUAAUAACCACAGCAAUUGACGUUACCCGCAGAAGAAGCACCGGCUAACUCCGUGCCAGCAGCCGCGGUAAUACGGAGGGUGCAAGCGUUAAUCGGAAUUACUGGGCGUAAAGCGCACGCAGGCGGUCUGUCAAGUCGGAUGUGAAAUCCCCGGGCUCAACCUGGGAACUGCAUUCGAAACUGGCAGGCUGGAGUCUUGUAGAGGGGGGUAGAAUUCCAGGUGUAGCGGUGAAAUGCGUAGAGAUCUGGAGGAAUACCGGUGGCGAAGGCGGCCCCCUGGACAAAGACUGACGCCCAGGUGCGAAAGCG